GGCAAACAAGUAAAUAAUUGUUUCCAAACUUUUCCUGACGCAAGAAGUCCAUCGAAACGAUUGGCUACUAGUUUGCCAUAUGAGGAUGCAGUUUUUUCUGUAUUCAUUUUGGUAACUCAUAAAAUACAUUUUUUGUUUAUAA